rnacentral:rRNA from 1 species
AACGUAGGUGACAAACGUUAUCCGGAAUUACUGGGCGUAAAGCGCGUGUAGGUGGUGAUGUAAGUCGGGUGUGAAAUCCCUCGGCUCAACCGAGGAAGUGCACUCGAUACUGUGUCGCUUGAGUGUUGGAGGGGAUGGCGGAAUUCCCGGUGUAGAGGUGAAAUUCGUAGAUAUCGGGAGGAACACCUGUGGCGAAGGCGGCCAUCUGGACAACUACUGACACUGAGACGCGAAAGCGUGGGUAGCAAACAGG